UCUCGCUAUCAACCAGGAGGUGAUGGUGGUUUUUCCCCUCCCGCCCUUCCUAGGAAACUGGGAGUCGCUCGCGGGAGCGGCUGGAGCUCGGAGCUUCGUGGGUGUGUUUUUCACGCGAGCGCCAGCGCCCAGUUUCAUCGUCCCGUUCCCCCAGCUCCGCGGUGGCGGCUGACAAUCGCCCCCGGCACCGCGGGCAGCCGGAGGCGGUGCCUCGCGCGGGCGGCCUGAUGUGGCAGCGGCGUGGGCGGGCUGACCCGCCAGGGGCUGCCAGCGCUCCGCCCGUUGACAACUGGGCGCUGUGAGGGGGAGCGGUGAGGGGGUUAAAACACGGAGGGAUUUCCGAACCGUCCUCAUAGGAGCCCGUUUGGCAACGCCACUCGGUCAAAAGCCGAAAGGACAGAGGUUGUCCUUCAGUCCUUCCUGAGUUGGGCACGUACCGCUCACUGCGUCUUGGUUCCUUCUCCACAAGCAGCCCUCUUGUAAUGCAAGAGUUGUCCUCAGAAGUUUGGAGCCGUUAAUAUGCGCGCCCUAAAUACAUAACUCUGUUUUCAGCCCUGUGUGUUGGUGAAGUGUGAAAAUAAAAAAUAAAUCGGCUGUUGGAUGUAUUUGGGGAACACGUGCAUAUGCACGUAGAUAUAUAUAUAUGAAUGUUCUAAGAAGUCCCAAAGUUCAGCGGAGGAUGAGUAAGUUAAAGCCAGGGCAGAAUCAAAAUGCUGUGGGAAAUUCUGUGAAUUCCCACUGAUGUCUCAUCUUACGGUAUUUUUUAGCUGUGACGUUAACGUUGGCUUGGAAGAUUCUUUCGUUAUCACCUUUUAGAGACUUCCUGCAUUCUCCUCGAGUCUUCCCCCAGCCCUCUCAAAGUGAUUAGUGGACAGACAUCUCCGCCUCGCCUACUGUGUUUGUUUCCUCCAGAUAAUCAUAAAGCACUCAGACAUCCCCCAGCAUUCUGAUUUAGUAAAUAGCCUUCAGCAAUGGGAGCCAUCUGACUCCAAUAGCAGCAUGAAGCAGCCAGUCCUGCUCCUGCCAAACUCCCUCAGCUGAUGUUCUCUGGAGGCCAGGAGAAGCAGGCUCGAGUGGAGCUAGAGGGGAAGACAUGUCUGCUUUGGAUGUAGCUCAUGCAUUUGUGCCCAGAUCAAGUGCCAGAUAGCUGAGAGCCGCAGGCGGGCACUGGGGACAGCAGCAGUGCUGUGGAGAGGUGCACAGCAUGUUGUCUGUAAAGAGAACCGCAGAGAUGCUCUCCUCCUGCUGCAGGGAAGAGAAAGCUACAGCUGCACGCCCGUUGCUAAGGCAGCACGGAGCACACCCACGCUGGCCUCGAAGCAAAACAGUGCUCAUAGGAAAUUUCAUGGAGCCAGAAGCCUUGUGUGAGAGAGUAUUGCUUUGUGUAAGGUGCUGUCUCCUGUUGCCUGCGACAACGUACUAAGGCUUCCCUUCCUUCUGCACCUCCGCAUGCAGGGGCAUACGGGACACAUACACGGUAUGUAGCACCGAAAUGCCAAUUUAAUGCUGCGCAACAAGGCUACUUAUACCUGUACACGUGACCGCCCCGUAUACCCGUGACCCCCCCGGCUCCUCCCCAGGUGCUCACAGGCACCACCCAUCCCAUUUUAUCCCACAGUCUCCUACACUACUGAACUGGGUUUCACAAAUCCCCCCAGAAUUGCUCCCCGUGCAUGUAAUUUCUCUGAUUCUUUGGAGGAAGCUGUGCCAUCUCGCUAGAGCCCACAAUGGAGAGAAAGAGAGAGGAGGCGCAGCUUUCAGUGAAGACAAGGGAUGGCUGGGCCAACCAUGUGUGCGCGUCGAUCAGCUUAAGCCAGCAGCAAAGCUGAAGUCCCAGGACUGUAGGCAGAGCCACUGAGACAUUGCCACCUCCUGAGAGCCAGGAGCUCUGCAGGCAGACUGACCCAGGCCUGGGGCCCGAUGCCAGGGAUGCAGGUGGGACUCCAGCAGACAGGAAGAUGCCUGAAUGACAAGCGUGUCUCAGCUAUACCUUGGAUGAAGUAUGGAAGUACCAGCACUCACUCCUAUUUACUUAAGGCCAGGAAUGGAAAAGAACAGAGUAAAACUAUAGCCAGUAAGUGAAAGGCUAGCAUUACUCACAUUGUUCUCAACUGUUCUCAAUGAAAAGCUUCAAACCCUGCUCACAUCUGUGCUUCCUAAGAAUUGUUUCCAGAAGGGCAGGGCUGUUACUGGGUGUGUGAAAGUCAGACAUUUCCAGCAACACCAAGACCUGGAGAAAGGCAUUAACUAGUAUUUAGAAAGUAACCAGAGUAAUGGUGUUUGCACAAGGGAGGAGAGAAAUGCAUCGAGAGAAGGAAGCGGCAGACAAAAAUAGCUUUUGCAACCUCACGGCCUCUUGUGGAAAUCCCCCUCCUAUGAGGAGCAUUCAUACUGAAAAACUGGCACUCGCUGCCCAUUUACUCAAGCUCACAGGCACUGAUGUCCUAGGCAGGCUUUUUUAUUUCACAUUUCAGUUCCAGCCAUUCCCAGAAAACGCCCAUCCGUUUGGAAAAACUUUAAUGCGUCAGCAUGAAAGCAGAAAGCAGUGAGGCUGCAGGAACAGGGCAGGGUAUCCACAGUCUUGUUUUCAAGAUGUCAAAGUCUACCGGCAGUUUCACAAAACGGCAGGUGGGAACAUGCACUCCGCAUGUGCACACGCACGUGCAGCUGCAUUGUGGAGGCACGCCGCAGCACUGACAUUCAGGGAGCGGGAGGAGAGCCAGCACGAAAAGAAACAGCACCACACUAAUUUCUUUUCUUUUAAUUAACAUUUGCCGAGUUUGGAGAGAAGCCCAGGCUGCAAAAUUUGGAUGCAAAAUUCAAAGAGCUCGGAAACUGCAAGUGUUCACAUACAGGCUCCUUAUUUAUGCCUCGUCCUCUUUAUGGGUCAUGCAGAGACUACCUAAUUGCUCUUACUGUAACCCACAAUUAGCAACAGUUCUUUGCCGUAUGUCAGCGUACAGUAGAGCUACACUCCAAAAAUGCGUGGCAAUGUUUAAUAGUAGGUGGACGUUGACUUCCCUUUUCAAGACGGAUUUUUCCCUGAGGCCCCUCUGUUUCAUGAGGAGCAAAGACUUUUAAUGUUCUCAGCAGAAGGAAGUGGUGAUAUUUUAAUCAGGUCUGGGAGUUGUUUGUAAAAGGAAGUAGUUUCUCAAAUUCAUGUGAACUUCACCUUUCCUGCACAGCUCUCAUUGAUACAAGUACAAGCAACUACCUCAUGUCUCAUUACUGAAGUACUGAAUUCUUGGCAUAUCAUUGAAUAGCCACUAUUAAACUCUUGCAACGUCAAUAUUAAGUCUCUAACUCCACAGAAGGUUCAUUCUCGAUGCGAGAAUGGGGUUAAGAGGUAAAAUCCCAGCCCUUACCUUGCAUUCUUUUACCAGCACAGCACAUACUUCUCAGCAAAUCACACUGUCCACUGACAUCAGAAAAUAAGGGGACUGGAAUAACAUAUGCAUUACUUUCUUGCUUCAGUAGAUAUGACAUUACUUUCAAACAUCCCCAAUGGACUGUAAACAAUGCAUUUAGUAUGGUAACAAGCACGAAGGCUACUUAGUUCUUAGAAGGGCCCUUGCAUGCUUUGCAUUCUAGUCUAGAGAUAGGAGAGCACAGGAUAUAACACGCACCAAGGACUAAGACUGACCAUACUGUGAGGUUCAGCAGGGUUUCAGAACCACAGAGAGCCUAAGAAGUAAGACACUGCUGAUGUUCCUUCUGGAGCUUUGAGGAGUAAGUGCAGGAGAGUGAGCGCUGGCUCCAGAUGAGCUCUCCUCAAUCACACAUUUCUAAGAGCCAAGUCUCAGCUCUUGCUAGGGCCAUAUGCAAGACUGAACUACUGCAGUCCUCGUGGCAAGGACAAAAACCACAGCUCCUCUCACCAGAUGCAUCAAAUCAGACUGCUUGUUCCUCCUCCAUCUGCACUACUUAUGGAUCUGUCUGGCUUCUAGAUGUCAUGUAACAGUGACAUGGCGCUUCUAUGCUGGUGUAUUUCAGAUUGAAAACAGUAAAGGGCUUUGGAAGAGGAGAGUUCAUUCCUAUGAGUAGUGCUUCUGCCCCCAGAAUUCUUUGGAUGAAGUACUCUUACAGCAUAAUGCAGCUCCAUGUGUAUCCUGCUGUCUUAAGGACACACUCAUUUUGUUGGUCUUCAGUUCUGACACUGCGUUAGUUAUGAACAAUGUAUGAAACAGCAUGACUCAAGUGAUUUAGUUUUAGUAUGAUUUCUGCUUCUUGAACUGAUCCAGCAGAUGAAUAAUCAUACAGAUAACUGCUUUUUUAGAACAGUUGCCUGUGACAGAGACAUUUGCUCUCAUGCUUUUAAGGUAGAUGGUGUGGCUUCUGGCUGGAUUAGCAAAUUGCUUUUAUAGGAAUCUAAAUGAGCAAAUGCCAUUCUGGCAGAUGACGAUUAAUGGCAACAUACGACUCCUGAGAAAACACAGGUGUCCUGCUGAGAUUAUUUUAAAUGGUGCUCUCUGAAAUUGCAUUCAUGUAGACUAACUGCACACAAUUAGCACAUUAUUUUAGAAUUACUUUGGCUAGCUUUUCUUCUGCAAAUUUUUAUACCAAGUUAGUUUUCCCAGCCAUGCUUGUCUGACUUAUCCUUCAAUAGAUUCACUUCCAAUACUGAAAGAGGCUCAAUUCACACAAGGGUAAGGGAAGGGUUCUUUUAUAAAUUUUGUUGUGUUAGCAUGAAGCAGAACUUCUUUUGGGAAAGUAUUUACAUAAACAGCACAACAUUUGCAAUCCAAAAACAUCAGCGUGCUAUGCAGGAGAUACAGAAGGGGGUUGCUUAUAUCUUAAGUUGAAGUAACCUCACUGCUUAAGUAGCAGCAGCACCACCUAACAAAGUGAACAUGAAUAAUACUUUUCUAAUUUAAACUGAGUGUGGGAGGAUAGAGGUAGGCAGCAAAAGAAGUUGGAAACUGAUUUCCAGUGUGAUUCAUAGGGAUUUUCAACAGUUGCUUGUACAGGUAAAUUAUAAUAUUCAGCAUUUACAUAUAGCUUUUCACUUAUUAACAUCUGAUGGUCUUAAGUCUUACUCUUUUUGACAAAUGAAAUGCUGAAACACAACAAAGUUAUGAAACUGGGUUAUCUUAUUGACUGUAUCUAGCAUCUUGACUUUCACGCACAAAACAGCUUAUCUGUUUUGUUAAAUACUGCUCACACAAUGAGUUUCCUCUAAGUGAGAGAACUGGAUUGUAAAAUGAAUGGAAUUACCUGUAGAAGUUAGGAGAAUCAUUUAACAUUACUGGGAUUGUACCAAUUUUGUCCAUGGCUUAUGAACAACGGUAAGCAAAAGGGUGUACAUGUACUAUAAUAAAGUGAUCUCUUUCCUCCAUAUGUCCUGUCACCUCUAGAAUCACUCCCUACCUAUACCUUCAUCAAGACAAAAGGAGCUGGCUGUUGCCAUUACUUUUCCAACCCCUUCUUCCUACAUUUUUCUUCUUAUUCCUUAUUAUGUAACUAGAUUCAGCAAAACCAUCUAUAACAGUCUGCCUAGAGAACUUCCCUACACCCACCCA